GAUGAACGCUAGCGGCAGGCCUAACACAUGCAAGUCGAGGGGUAGGGGCUUUCGGGCCCUGAGACCGGCGCACGGGUGCGUAACGCGUAUGCAAUCUGCCUUACACUGGGGGAUAGCCCAGAGAAAUUUGGAUUAAUACCCCAUAGUAUUUUAGCCUGGCAUCAGGUUAUUAUUAAAGUUUUUUGGUUUAAGACGAGCAUGCGUCCCAUUAGCUAGUUGGUAUGGUAACGGCAUACCAAGGCAAUGAUGGGUAGGGGUCCUGAGAGGGAGAUCCCCCACACUGGUACUGAGACACGGACCAGACUCCUACGGGAGGCAGCAGUGAGGAAUAUUGGUCAAUGGGCGAGAGCCUGAACCAGCCAUGCCGCGUGCAGGAUGAAGCAUCUAUGGUGUGUAAACUGCUUUUGUACGGGAAGAAACACUCCUUCGUGAAGGAGCUUGACGGUACCGUAAGAAUAAGGAUCGGCUAACUCCGUGCCAGCCGCCGCAGUAA
rnacentral:rRNA from 1 species